rnacentral:sRNA from 1 species
CCAGUACUCUGGCGGGCAUGCCUGUCUGAGCGUCAUUUCAACCCUCGGGACCCCGUUCGCGGGACCCGGCGCUGGGGAUCAGCUUGUAAAACAGCUGGCCCUGAAAUCUAGUGGCGGUCCGCCAGCGAUCUCCUCUGUGCAGUAGUUAAUACCUCGCAGCUGGAUAGCGGUCGGGCCACGCCGUAAAACCCCCACUUUCUCAAGGUUGACCUCAGAUCAGGUAGGAAUACCCGCUGAACUUAAGCAUAUCAAUAAGCGGAGGAAAAGAAACCAACAGGGAUUGCCCUAGUAACGGCGAGUGAAGCGGCAACAGCUCAAAUUUGAAAUCUGGCCUUACGGUCCGAGUUGUAAUUUGCAGAGGAUGCUUCUGGCGACGUGCCUUCCGAGUUCCCUGGAACGGGACGCCAUAGAGGGUGAGAGCCCCGUCCGGUCGUGCACCUAGCCUCUGUGAAGCUCCUUCGACGAGUCGAGUAGUUUGGGAAUGCUGCUCUAAAUGGGAGGUAUACGUCUUCUAAAGCUAAAUACCGGCCAGAGACCGAUAGCGCACAAGUAGAGUGAUCGAAAGAUGAAAAGCACUUUGAAAAGAGGGUUAAAUAGUACGUGAAAUUGCUGAAAGGGAAGCGCUUAUGACCAGACUUGGGCUCGGUGAAUCAUCCGGCGUUCUCGCCGGUGCACUUUGCCGUCCCAGGCCAGCAUCAGUUCGCGCCGGGGGAUAAAGGUUUCGGGAAUGUGGCCCCCUAGGGGGUGUUAUAGCCCGUUGCGUAAUACCCUGGCGUGGACUGAGGUCCGCGCUC